CAUUGCAGCUUUACCUGAGAAAUAGAAAUCGACGAGAGUUGGUUUCCUUUCCCUCACUUAUAAACUAUUCAGAUUUGAUGAAAUAAAUAAUUUAUGGAUAAUAGUUGUAGUAAUCGUAGUCGUAGUGGUACUGGUACUGGUAGCCUAUAAUGAUGAAAUCACUUGAGUUAUUAUCUGUGGAAAAAAAGAGAAAAAUAAAAUUGUGAUAAUAUUUGCGGCCAUAAUUUUUUUUUUUUUCUCUCACACUCAAUAUUAUACAAGAAAGACUCUAUGUUAUUUCGUUGUACAUUAAAUAAAAACUACAUUGGAACCUGCAAACAAUAUAAAUCGGGGUAAAUCAGAUAAACAAAGAAAAAGAAGAAAAAGGAAAAGG